UCCUCGGUAGUAUAGUGGUUAGUAUCCCCCGCCUGUCACGCGGGACCGGGGUUCGAUUCCCGCCGGGAGG
rnacentral:tRNA from 1 species